GUGAAACAAUGACCUUUCAAAAUCAAGGGGAAGGAGCAUAGACAUCCCUUUUAUUCCUGGAUAUUCAGCCAUCAAUAUAGUACAGAAUACAUGUGACUAAUACAUAGCAAAUAUAUAGUAGAAACAAGUCUGCUCUUUGAUUUAACCACAUAGCUCCUUGCUCCAACUUUUCCAGGAAGAUUGAAGACUAGGAGAUAUCAGCACACAGGUACAUUUAUUUCAUAAUUUUCCAUUGUCUGGAAUAUAUAUGAUAUUACACAAGCACCAAAAGCCUUUGGUUACACGAUUUAUUCUAUUCACAUUCAACAAUCACAAAUACUUAUAAACAUCAAAGGCUAAAUUUUCAACAAGCAGGCAACCAAGGAGCAGUCUGACAUUAGACAGAUCAUUCACAUAGCAGAAAAAUCUUUGGAUGAAGAAUCUGUAGUACCAGAACUCAGUUGUUUGGCUCGA
rnacentral:lncRNA from 1 species